rnacentral:misc_RNA from 1 species
UACGGAGGGUGCAAGCGUUAAUCGGAAUUACUGGGCGUAAAGCGCGCGUAGGCGGUUGUGCAAGUCGGGUGUGAAAGCCCCGGGCUUAACCUGGGAAUUGCAUUCGAUACUGCACGGCUAGAGUCUGGGAGAGGGAAGUGGAAUUCCGGGUGUAGCGGUGAAAUGCGUAGAUAUCCGGAGGAACACCAGUGGCGAAGGCGACUUCCUGGCCUAAGACUGACGCUGAGGUGCGAAAGCUAGGGUAGCGAACAGG